rnacentral:rRNA from 1 species
AGAGCGCAUGGUGGAUGCCUUGGCACUGGAAGCCGAUGAAGGACGCGGCAAGCUGCGAUAAUCCCCGGCGAGGAGCACACAUCCUUCGACCCGGGGGUCUCCGAAUGGGCGAACCCAUGCACAGCAGUGUGCAUAUCCCCGGCCCGAACACAUAGGGCCGGGGAGGACAACCCGGGGAACUGAAACAUCUAAGUACCCGGAGGAAGAGAAAGAAACAUCGAUUUCCUGAGUAGCGGCGAGCGAAAGGGAAAGAGCCUAAACCGAGAUGCGUGCAUUUCGGGGUAAUGGACUACAAUAAGUGAGCAAAAAGAUAGAAGAACAGGCAGGAAAGCCUGGCCGAAGAAAGUGAAAGCCUUGUAUUCGAAAUCUGAAUUGCAGCGAGUAGUAUCCGGAGUACUGCGGGACACGAGAAACCCUGCAGGAAGUCGGGGGGACCACCCCCCAAGGCUAAAUACUAACCAGUGACCGAUAGCGUAUAGUACUGUGAAGGAAAGGUGAAAAGAACCCUGGGAAGGGAGUGAAAGAGAACCUGAAACCAUGUGUUUACAAACUGUGGAAGAACUAUUAAAAGUUCAACCGCGUACUUUUUGUAGAACGGUCCGGCGAGUCACGCCGGCUGGCAAGGUUAAGGACUAAAGGUCCGGAGCCGAAGGGAAACCAAGUCUUAAUAGGGCGAAGAGUCAGUCAGCGUGGACCCGAAACCGGGUGAUCUACCCAUGUCCAGGAUGAAGCUGCCGUAAGAGGUAGUGGAGGUCCGAACACACAUCCGUUGAAAAGGGUGGUGAUGAGGUGUGGGUAGGGGAGAAAUUCCAAUCGAACCCGGAGAUAGCUGGUUCUCCUCGAAAUAGCUUUAGGGCUAGCCUUCAGUUAGUCUGCCGCAGGUAGAGCACUGAAUUUCCUAGGGGGCGUCAAAGCCUACCGAAGAAUAUCAAACUCCGAAUGGCGGACAGAUGAUGCUGGGGAGUCAGACUGCACGAGAUAAGUUGGGUGGUCAAAAGGGAAAGAGCCCAGACCUACAGCUAAGGUCCCAAAGUACGUGUUAAGUGGAAAAGGAUGUGGGAUUUCAAAGACAGCUAGGAUGUUGGCUUAGAAGCAGCCAUACAUUAAAAGAGUGCGUAAUAGCUCACUAGCCGAGAGGUCCUGCGCCGAAAAUGUCCGGGGCUAAAACACGACACCGAAGCUUAGGAAUCAGAAAUGAUUGGUAGAGGAGCAUUCUUAAAUCAUCGAAGCUGUACCGGUAAGGAGCAGUGGAGGUUUAAGAAGAGAGAAUGCCGGAAUGAGUAGCGAGAAUGAAGUGAGAAUCUUCAUGGCCGAAUAUCCAAGGUUUCCAGGGUAAAGCUGAUCUGCCCUGGGUUAGUCGGGGCCUAAGGCGAGGCUGAGAAGCGUAGCUGAUGGACAACAGGUUGAAAUUCCUGUACUGCCUUAUAACAGAACUGUGGGGACACAUGUUCAGGUCGCGAGCCGGGAAAGGAAAGCCCGGUGCAAGCAGAGGUUAUCGGUGGGAGGCAAACCCCCCACAAAAGAGAAGACUGCGAUGCGGAGCGAAGAAAAGUAGCGAAGAGCGAUGAGAAUGUGUCGAGAAAAGCCGCUAUUGUUUAUAAGGUACCCGUACCGUAAACCGACACAGGUGGAUGAGGAGAGAAUCCUAAGGCCGGCGGGAGAAGCAUUGUUAAGGAACUCGGCAAAAUGACCCCGUAACUUCGGGAGAAGGGGUGCCUGCGAGAGCAGGCCGCAGAGAAUAGGCUCAAGCAACUGUUUAGCAAAAACACAGGUCUAUGCGAAACCGAAAGGUGAAGUAUAUGGGCUGACGCCUGCCCGGUGCUGGAAGGUUAAGAGGAGAGGUUAGCGCAAGCGAAGCUUUGAAUUUAAGCCCCAGUAAACGGCGGCCGUAACUAUAACGGUCCUAAGGUAGCGAAAUUCCUUGUCGGGCAAGUUCCGACCCGCACGAAAGGCGUAACGAUUUGGGCGCUGUCUCAGCUGUAGACUCGGUGAAGUCUUAGUACCUGUGAAGAUGCAGGUUGCCCGCGACUAGACGGAAAGACCCCAUGGAGCUUCACUGCAGGUUGACAUUGGGCUUGGAUGCAUGAUGUACAGGAUAGGUGGGAGGCUGUGAGCCGUGCGCGCCAGCGUACGGGGAGCCGCUGUUGGGAUACCACCCUUCAUGCAUCUAGGUCCUAACCGGAGGCAACGGGCCACGGGACAGUGUCAGUCGGGCAGUUUGACUGGGGCGGUCGCCUCCCAAAGAGUAACGGAGGCGCCCAAAGAUACCCUCAGCAUGGAUGGAAACCAUGCAUAGAGUGCAAAGGCAUAAGGGUGUCUGACUGCGAGACAUACAGGUCGAGCAGGGACGAAAGUCGGGCUUAGUGAUCCGGCGGAUCCGAAUGGAAGGGCCGUCGCUCAACGGAUAAAAGCUACCCUGGGGAUAACAGGCUGAUCUCCCCCAAGAGUCCACAUCGACGGGGAGGUU